rnacentral:tRNA from 1 species
AAUCAAAAAAGCCGGAAUAGCUCAGUUGGUAGAGCAGAGGACUGAAAAUC